GGUUUGGCCUCACAGGUAAAGCUCAAGUAAUGGCUAUGAAGAACUUGUCAGAUGGUCAACGUAGUAGGGUGAUUUUUGCAUGGUUGGCUUAUAGGCAACCUCACAUGCUGCUGUUGGAUGAGCCAACCAACCAUCUUGAUAUUGAGACAAUUGACUCACUUGCAGAGGCAUUGAAUGAAUGGGAUGGUGGGAUGGUUCUAGUGAGUCAUGAUUUUAGGCUCAUAAACCAGGUU
rnacentral:lncRNA from 1 species